rnacentral:rRNA from 1 species
AAACCGACACAGGUGGGUGAGGAGAGUAUCCUAAGGCCAGCGAGAGAACUGUUGUUAAGGAACUCGGCAAAAUGACCCCGUAACUUAGGGAUAAGGGGUGCCACCAUCAGGUGGCCGCAGAGAAUAGGCCCAAGCGACUGUUUACCAAAAACAUAGGUUUCUGCUAAGUCGCAAGACGAUGUAUAGGAGCUGACGCCUGCCCGGUGCUGGAAGGUUAAGGGGAUCUGUUAGAGCAAUCGAAGCAGUGAACUUAAGCCCCAGUAAACGGCGGCCGUAACUAUAACGGUCCUAAGGUAGCGAAAUUCCUUGUCGGGUAAGUUCCGACCCGCACGAAAGGCGUAACGAUUUGGGCACUGUCUCAACAACAGACUCGGUGAAAUUGUAAUUCCGGUGAAGAUGCCGGAUACCUGCGACAGGACGGAAAGACCCCAUGGAGCUUUACUGUAGCUUGACAUUGGGUCUUGGUACUACAUGUACAGGAUAGGUGGGAGGCUUUGAAACCAGGACGCCAGUUUUGGCGGAGCCAUCCUUGGGAUACCACCCUUGUAGUACUGGGACUCUAACCAUAGGCCAUGAAUCUGGUCUUGGGACACUGUCAGGUGGGCAGUUUGACUGGGGCGGUCGCCUCCCAAAAGGUAACGGAGGCGCUCAAAGGUUCUCUCAGUACGGUCGGAAACCGUACGUAGAGUGUAAAGGCAAAAGAGAGCUUGAUUGCAAGACAUACAGGUCGAGCAAGGAUGAAAAUCGGACUUAGUGAUCCGGUGGUUCUGCGUGGAAGGGCCAUCGCUCAACGGAUAAAAGCUACCCUGGGGAUAACAGGCUUAUCUCCCCCAAGAGUCCACAUCGACGGGGAGGUUUGGCACCUCGAUGUCGGCUCAUCACAUCCUGGGGCUGUAGUAGGUCCCAAGGGUUGGGCUGUUCGCCCAUUAAAGUGGUACGCGAGCUGGGUUCAGAACGUCGUGAGACAGUUCGGUCCCUAUCCGUCGCAGGCGUAGGAAAUUUGAGAAGACCUGUCCUUAGUACGAGAGGACCGGGAUGGACGUACCUCUGGUGUACCAGUUGU